rnacentral:rRNA from 1 species
GAGUAACACGUGGGGUAACCUGCCUCAAAGAGGGGGAUAGCUCCCGAAAGGGAGAUUAAUACCGCAUAACAUUAUUUCUUCGCAUGAAGAGAUAAGUCAAAGGAGUAAUCCGCUUUGAGAUGGGACCCGCGGCGCAUUAGGCUAGUUGGUGAGGGUAAAUGGGCUCACCAAGGCGACGAUGCGUAGCCGACCUGAGAGGGUGAUCGGCCACAUUGGAACUGAGAUACGGUCCAGACUCCUACGGGAGGCAGCAGUGGGGAAUAUUGCGCAAUGGGGGAAACCCUGACGCAAGCAACGCCGCGUGGGUGAAGAAGGCCUUCGGGUUGUAAAGCUCUGGUCUUCUGGGACGAUAAUGACGGUACCAGAGGAGGAAGCCACGGCUAACUACGUGCCAGCAGCUGC